rnacentral:rRNA from 1 species
CACGUAGGGUGCGAGCGUUGUCCGGAAUUAUUGGGCGUAAAGUGCUCGUAGGCGGUGUGUCGCGUCGGCCGUGAAAACCUGCAGCUUAACUGUGGGCUUGCGGUCGAUACGGGCAUCACUGGAGUUCGGCAGGGGAGACUGGAAUUCCUGGUGUAGCGGUGAAAUGCGCAGAUAUCAGGAGGAACACCGGUGGCGAAGGCGGGUCUCUGGGCCGAUACUGACGCUGAGGAGCGAAAGCGUGGGGAGCGAACAGG